GACCCCGCACAAGCGGUGGAUCAUGUUGUUUAAUUCGACGAUACGCGAAGAACCUUACCAGGUCUUGACAUGCUCUGCAAAGGCUUAGAAAUAAGUACGGAGGUUAACAGAUGCACAGGUGGUGCACGGUUGUCGUCAGCUCGUGUCGUGAGAUGUUGGGUUAAGUCCCGCAACGAGCGCAACCCUUAUCGUUAGUUACCAUCAUUAAGUUGGGGACUCUAGCGAGACUGCCAGUGACAAACUGGAGGAAGGUGGGGAUGACGUCAAAUCAUCAUGCCCCUUAUGACCUGGGCUACAAACGUGAUACAAUGGCUGCUACAAAGAGAAGCGAAGGGGUGACCUCAAGCAAAUCUCAAAAAAGCAGUCUCAGUUCGGAUUGAAGUCUGCAACUCGACUUCAUGAAGUCGGAAUCGCUAGUAAUCGCGAGUCAGCAUAUCGCGGUGAAUACGUUCUCGGGGUUU
rnacentral:rRNA from 1 species